rnacentral:misc_RNA from 1 species
GGGAAACUGAAAUUAAUGGCAAGGUAAUACAAACUAUUUGCUGCCCAUGGAAGUUUGAUAUGAUUUAUAUCUUAUGUUCUAUUGCAAUUACAGUUGAUUUGCUCUGCUCAUAUGAAUUAGGAAGUCCUAAGUAAUGCCACUGGUAUCUUUCCAAGUUGUUUAAUUACAAAUUAGCUGCUUAAAUUUGAUUAUCCAGUAGCAUAGAGUAAAAAUGUGUAAUAAGACCAGAGAAAAACAAGGCAGAAAGAUGAACAAUUUAUCAUGAAAGGAAAGUCGUAAUAAGUUGGAAAAAUGAGAAAUGGAACGAUACAGACAAACAGAUAAAAAAAAAAAAAAGGAAGAAAAACAAGGCAAAAAAAAGGAGCCGAGUGCUGAC